GACGUAGGGGGCGAGCGUUGUCCGGAUUUAUUGGGCGUAAAGAGCGCGUAGGCGGCCCGUUAAGUCGGAUGUGAAAACCCGUGGCUCAACCACGGGCCUGCAUCCGAUACUGGCGGGCUCGAGGCAGGCAGGGGAGAUCGGAAUUCCUGGUGUAGCGGUGAAGUGCGCAGAUAUCAGGAGGAACACCGGUGGCGAAGGCGGAUCUCUGGGCCUGUCCUGACGCUCAGGCGCGAAAGCUAGGGGAGCAAACAGG
rnacentral:rRNA from 1 species